GGCCGCGUAGCUCAGUUGGAAGAGCAUUGGGCUAGUAUUCCAAAAGUCGUAGGUUCGAAUCCCGUCGUGGCCA